rnacentral:rRNA from 1 species
UACGGAGGGUGCGAGCGUUGUUCGGAAUUAUUGGGCGUAAAGGGCGCGCAGGCGGUCUGUUAAGUCUGAUGUGAAAGCCCCGGGCUCAACCCGGGAAGUGCAUUGGAAACUGGCAGACUUGAGUACGGGAGAGGGAAGUGGAAUUCCGCAUGUAGGGGUGAAAUCCGUAGAUAUGCGGAGGAACACCGGUGGCGAAGGCGGCUUCCUGGACCGAUACUGACGCUGAGGCGCGAAAGCGUGGGGAGCAAACAGGAUUAGAAACCCCCGUAGUCC